UCACCACCACCAAGGACUUUCAUCCCAAGAAAUCGAUAAUAGUUGACCUAUUUGGAUUUUCAUCAGAACAUGUAAAAGGUUUCUUACCCAUCUCUCUUGCCAUGUAUUUGACACAUACGCAAUCAUCAAUUCAUGAUGCUAGAACAUUGACAUUUUUGGAGUAUAUAUGGAUAAUAAUGGAUAGUAUGUGGAUUAUGGAUUCCACC
rnacentral:lncRNA from 1 species